AAUAAACGCUGGCGGCGUGCCUAACACAUGCAAGUCGAGCGAGAAAGCUCCUUCGGGAGUGAGUACAGCGGCGAACGGGUGAGCAACGCGUGGGAAUCUACCCUUCAGUGAAGAAUACCAUUGAGAAAUCGAGGUUAAUACUGCAUACGACCUGUAAAGGAGAAAGAUGGCCUCUUUGCUGUCGUUGAGGGAUGAGCCUGCGUACUAUUAGCUAGUUGGAGGGGUAACGGCAAACCAAGGCAAUGAUCAGUAGCCGGUCUGAGAGGAUGAACGGCCACAUUGGGACUGAGACACGGCCCAAACUCCUACGGGAGGCAGCAGUGGGGAAUCUUCCGCAAUGGACGAAAGUCUGACGGAGCAACGCCGCGUGAGUGAUGAAGGUCUUCGGAUUGUAAAGCUCUGUUAAUCGGGACGAAAGAGUUCUGCGUGAAUAAUGCAGAAAAGUGACGGUACCGGAAUAGAAAGCCACGGCUAACUACGUGCCAGCAGCCGCGGUAA
rnacentral:rRNA from 1 species